rnacentral:snRNA from 1 species
AUACUUACGUGGUCCCAUGGCCUCGUUGAUCACAGAGGACGAUCCCCCAGGGAGAGGCGUCGGCAUUGCACUGCGCUCACGUUGACCCGCGCCACUACCCCAAAGUGGGGCAGAUGGGGCAUGCAAAUC